GACGAACCGUGCGAACGUUGUUCGGAAUCACUGGGCUUAAAGGGCGCGUAGGCGGUUUCUCAAGUCCGGGGUGAAAGCUUUCGGCUUAACCGGAAAAGGGCCUUGGAUACUGAGAAGCUGGAGGGAGGUAGGGGCCGUUGGAACUUCCAGUGGAGCGGUGAAAUGCGUUGAUAUUGGAAGGAACUCCGGUGGCGAAAGCGAACGGCUGGAUCUCUUCUGACGCUGAGGCGCGAAAGCUAGGGGAGCAAACGGGG
rnacentral:rRNA from 1 species